rnacentral:rRNA from 1 species
GACGAACGCUGGCGGCGUGCCUAAUACAUGCAAGUCGAACGCAGUGGGGACGGGUGAGUAACACGUGGGUAACCUCCCAUCAGAGGGGAUAACACUUGGAAACAGGUGCUAAACCGCUACUGAUGGAUGGACCCGCGGUGCAUUAGCUAGUUGUUGAGGUAACGGCUCACCAAGGCAACGAUGCAUAGCCGGUCUGAGAGGGUGACCGGCCACACUGGGACUGAGACACGGCCCAGACUCCGACGGGAGGCAGCAGUGGGGAAUCUGCGGCAAUGGACGAAAGCCUGACCGAGCAACGCCGCGUGAGUGAAGAAGGCUUUCGGAUCGUAAAGCUCUGUUGGUAGAGAAGCGGUACCCAAAGAGGAAGCCCCGGCUAACUACGUGCCAGCAGCCGCGGUAAUAC